AAUCAUACAGCUUUACUUAUUAACUGUUUCUCCGGGAUAUAUAGAGAAGAUUAGCAUAGCCAUUGUGCAAGGAUGAGACACAAAAAUCAAGAAAUGGUCCAAAAAGAA
rnacentral:snRNA from 1 species